CAGCCGCGUAAUUCCAGCUCCAAUAGCGUAUAUUAAGGUUGCUGCGGUUAAAAAGCUCGUAGUUGAAUUUCGGAAUUGAUGCAUCGGUCGUGCCUUAAGGGGCAUGAACUGGUGUAGCCAAUUUCUCACCUUCUGGUGAAUUGUGAUGUUCUUAAUGGGUGUCUCAAUGAACUAGAAUUUUUUACUUUGAAAAAAUUAGAGUGUUUAAAGCAGGCAUUAAUUUGCUUGAAUACAUUAGCAUGGAAUAAUGAAAUAGGACAGUGGUUCCGUUUUGUUGGUUUCUAGGAUCACGUAAUGAUUAAUAGGGACAGUUGGGGGCAUUAGUAUUCAAUUGUCAGAGGUGAAAUUCUUGGAUUUAUUGAAGACUAACUAUUGCGAAAGCAUUUGCCAAGGAUGUUUUCAUUAAUCAAGAACGAAAGUUAGGGGAUCAAAGACGAUUAAGUACGUCGUAGUCCUAACCAUAAACUAUACCGACUAGGAAUCAGACGAUGUUAAUUUUUUAAUGACUCGUUUGGUACCUUACG
rnacentral:misc_RNA from 1 species